AUAUUAUCAUAUAAAUUUGGUCAAACUUGAGAUACUUUGACUCUCCAAGAUUCUUGGAAUGACUUAUAAUUUGGGAUGGAGGGAGUACUGUGUAUAAUACUCAGACCUAUAUUUAAGAUACAGAAAACAUUCAUCUGUAUACUGGCAUAGUAACAUGUCAAAACACUCAAAUCUUAAAACUAUGGAUCAUUGUUUAUUUUUCAAAAUUCAUGUUCAUGAUUGAUGUUACAUGAAUUUUGCCUUUCUGAAAAGGAGUUUAAAUUACAGUUCCCUUCCAUAUUUGUUGUGUACCUUUAUUGGAGCAACUGAAUGGUUUUGUUAGUGAUAAAGAGUUCAUAAGAAAAGAUGAGAUAGACAGUUAAAAAGGGAUGGAGAGUUGAACACCACUGUUUCACUUUUGUACAUAUACCUUUUUUAUUGGCAACUCCACUGUAGCUGGAAUGCUUUGUGCAUGUGCAACUCAUUUUCUCAUCUUAUGUGGAUACCUCUUCUCAAUUUCUCUUUUUUAAUCUUGUGGGUUUAUUACUAUGUGAGUAAGUGCUGCUUCUUUUAUUCAAGAUCUAUGUUUGACUCAUGCAAAUAGAUCAAUAUUUUUUCAUUCAUUUUGCACUUAGAGUUGGCAUCACAUUCGUGUUUGCAAUAUUCAUGACACUUGACCAUUGUCAAGCAUUAUGUUAACAUCAGAAACAGUAGAAUCAAAGAAUGAUUUACAGUUGAGAGGGUUAUGAAAAUUUAGGGUUUGAUUAACUACUCUCCCACUCACACCAUUGAACUUUAUGGAUGCAGUUGAUUUACUAUUCCGAGUCAUCUCUGCAUUGAAAUCAGGUUUCUCUGGCUGCUCAUUCUUUGUUUUUCUGAAGAAUUUUAGAAAAUUCGAGACACUAACCGUAGAACUGUUUCAUGAUCAAUCCAGCUCAGUUUUCUUUUCUUUUUCAGUCUCCAGCCUAACCCGAACUUUGUUCUGGGUUUUCCAGACUGUAUCAAGAAAUGUAUACAAUUAUAUGUUCAUAUAUCACAUGCAAAUCAAUAGAAAUACUGGAAAUAGAUUAUCAAAAUGGUAAAAAUAUUAUUUUUCAGCAUUUAACUAUGCUUGUUUGGGCCUGAUGACCUUUCUAGGUUUGUCUUUUCCACUUUUGCCUGAGCUUUUGUUUCUAAAGGACCCUCUGAGACACACUUUGCAUCGUUGAUUUGUUGAUGACCGAUGGGAAGAAUGAAUCCCACCUACAGGUUAGAACCAAAAUGUGUACUGCAGGUGCUUAUAAUGCAGCAUCCUGGAUGUGCUUGCUACAAACAUCGAGCCAUUGACUUGGUGGAAGAUUGAUUUCAACUUCGUGGCUAUAUUCUGAGAGUUCUUGUUUCUGGUAGCUUAGCUACCACUUGGCUGUUACCGAUGAGCAUUUGAUGUUAGCAAUUGUCCUGUCUCUUCGUUCACCAUCUAUCCUGGACCUUUGUUAUUGUCCUUGAGUGAUUGAAAACAUUUCCUUGACUACCUCACCCUCACAGAUACUGUAGGUACAGGAGGUAAGAGACCUUGUAGUUGCUGAUCCAAUUCUGAGAGAUAUAGCACCCAGUCAACAUUUGACAGGAGCAUUCCUCCUUAAAUUAAUUAAAUUUGCAACACGAUGUACAUGUUUAUCAGUAAUGUUUUGUCAUGUCAUCAUUCAAACAUGAGAAUAAGCAACAUGGUGCUUACUGCAGAAUAUCUAAUCACUGACUAGGAAGUUACUCACAUGUUGGACAAGAUCAAAUGCAAUACUAUUUUGGAAUGCUGCUAAUUGGAUCAUGGAAAUGAGAAAUUGAGAACUGUGAUGCUGUAUAUCUGUCAGGUUGUAAUCUUUUAUUUAAUUCAUUACUGCCAAAUUUUAUUCAGGCUCAGAUGUUUCCAGCAGCAAUAGAAACAACUACUCCCUCCGUCCCACAAAGAGUGCCCUUUUAGACUGAAUGAACCUGGCUGCCCAUGUUCUCCAUUGGUGUGAGUGGAACCGGAAAAUGUGCUGCAGGUGCUUGGAAUGCAUCAUCCUGAAUGUGCUGGCCACAAACUUCAGCUCAUCUGCUUGCAAUGAGAAUGCCUCAAACUCAGUGAUUGUUCUGACAGUUCUUGUUGAUGAUGGGUAGCUGUCACCAGAGCUGGGAAGCAAUGCCCAUGUGAGUAAUUCCUCGCCGCAGAAAUCGCCUGGUUUUAAGAUGAUAGAGUUGAAGAAAUCCGUCCUGCCACCAUCAGUUGUGCAGCUCUCUAGCUUCCCACGAAAUAUAAAUGUCAUCACCUUCACGGGUCCUCCUUCGUGGAUAAUGUAUGUGCCCUCAGUACAAAGGAAAUAGGUCAUAUGCUCACAAAUAGCGUCAAGUAGUUGGUGGUCUAUUGCAGAGAAGAGUGGCACCUAAAAUUUCAAUGGAAAGAUUAUGGUCUGGUUCCUCAUUCAAAUAUCAAGUAGAAAUGUAAAAUAGAUGGUUGCCAUUAUUGCAGAAUAUGUUAGCAACAACCAGAAUACCACUUACACGUUGAACAAGAUCAAGGCAUAGCCACUGUUUUAUUUUUCGACGAAGAUCAACAGGUAGCUGUUUCAGGAUCGAGUCCUCUUCAACUCCCUGUGUUGAAAUCCACUUGUACUCCAAGAACUAGCAUAUGCGAUUUUGCAAAUCAUCAGAUUGGACCAAGAUAAUAAAAAACAGAGGUGUCAAUAUGUCUGAAGCUCAAAGAUGGUAGGAUUGCCCACACAAGGAUCUGCAUAUGUGAGGAAGGUGCAUUAGUUAGUAAUUACACAUCUACCACUUUCUUCUGAUUGCGGCUGUGCUUCUUAUAACAGACACGCACCAGCGGAACUGGUAAUGCUGCUGCAAGGUCGAUGAAGAAAUUCGUUCUGAUGUAUCUGUAUGCAAUCCUUUUAGGAUCUGUGACAAGCUCACCCUUGCUGAGCACUAUUGAGACUGGAUCAAUAUAUGCAGUGAAAAAUCUUGUGGCAAUAUGGAUUACGAAGAACAUGUCGAUAAGAGUCCGGAGAUAUGUGAGCACGAUGGCCAAAUGUCGGUCUAUUUUCAUGCAGGGGUAUGCGCUCUCAACUUUUUAGCAAGAAGAAAAAUAGAGGAUCGACGCAGUGAGAAGCUAGACAGGAGAUGAGGACGGCGCGUUUCCAUAUCAUUACAGUGUUGCCUCCAGGGUCGAGAAUCCACUAUUGCCAGCAUGUCCAGUUUCUAGGGCAACCCUUUAACUUGUAAAUUGUAUGGUUUCCUGUUGCGUUAGCUGAACCUGUGUCUGUGUUCAGUUCGCCUCGUCCUUUAUUCUUGCUUGGGUUAAACCUGAGGAAUUCAAAUUCAAUAGAAAACCAUGUAGUACUUUCGAAGGUAUAUAUACUACUACAUUUGGAACCUCACUGUAAAAUUGAUUCCAAGCCGACUAUAUUAGGUCUACUAUAAACAGAAGCUAAGUUGCACUUGCUUA